rnacentral:ncRNA from 1 species
UCGCCCACAAUGGGUUCCACGGUUUCAACACGGAUGCGCUCUCGUGUGCCGAGUGUGAGCGGACACGAAGCGCUGCGAGAACGUCGGUCUCGUACCGAAUCCCUACCCUGGGGCAUCCGUGUUGGAGUCGUGUUCGGCCUACGCCGAUACGUUCCAUCUUUGGUCUCCUCGCGCUAACCCCGUAGCGUGUGGUUUUUAGCGGGCUUAUGAGCCCGCUUUUUUUC